ACGCGAUUCAUCGGUCUUUCACGGGUCGAGUAACGCAUACAUAACAUGCCCUUUAGCUUCUGGGAUAGCCACUACAAAUGGUGAUUAAUACCAAAUACUACCCUACGGGGGAAAGAUUUAUCGCUAAAGGAUUGGUCUAUGUCCUAUCAGCUUGUUGGUGAGGUAAAGGCUCACCAAGGCGAUGACGGGUAUCCGGCCUGAGAGGGUGAACGGACACACUGGAACUGAGACACGGUCCAGACUCCUACGGGAGGCAGCAGUAGGGAAUAUUGCUCAAUGGGCUUUUGCCUGAAGCAGCAACGCCGCGUGGAGGAUGAAGGUCUUAGGAUUGUAAACUCCUUUUGUCAGAGAAGAUC
rnacentral:rRNA from 1 species